rnacentral:lncRNA from 1 species
CUCGACUCGAUGAAUUCUUGUGACAGAUCACAAAACUUGGACAGUAAUGGCCACCUCUCGACACAGGAAUUUGUAUGUACUGACAGCAACACAUCAGGGGCUGAUGGUAGCAGUGUCUUUGUGCAUGUUGGAAAAUCUCCAAGAGGAGUUCAUCUCAGCUCAGAUGACACAGAAGCACAAAGGCGUGAUGGGACUCUAACAAUAACCUUGGAAGCAGGGACACAAACAGGAGCUUUAUCUUACCGAGAUGUCUCAGUUCAGUGCUCACUUAUUCAUCACAGCAACUCUGUCCCUUUCCACUCUGCUAAUAAGAAAACCAGCGCCUUUACCACAAGGUGGCAGUAUUCUAAUUUUAAUCAGUUGCUUAAUCCAACAACACAUACUUCUCCAAAAAAUGGGCACAAAAGAUCAGGAAACAUGCCCUUAGGGCCAUUAGCAACAAACCAGCAGGCACAGAGACAUCCAAAAUCACAAAUGGGCAUCUCCUUCCG